UCAAUCCAUGUGGAAGGGAGAGAAGUUUGCAGCACAAGGGCCAGUCAUCAUUUUCAUCAUGUUAUCAAGAGCACAAACGGUGACUCACAAGCAAUUUUAUUUGGAGGCAGUAUUGGAAUCUAUUUGAACAAGGACUGGAAGACCACUUGUCCAAAUUCAGAAUCAUCGGAUUGUUGAGAAACUGCAUAGUGCGAGGUAAACGUGUGACAUGCGGACCAGGUUACUGCUUUGCAACUGUCUCAUACACAUGAGCCAGGCCACUUGGGCUCUAAUUGAAUGACCUAAUAUUCUAUCUAACGGCUCCACAGUAGCCAAGCGGUAACAUGAGCAAAUACAACUGGACAUCCACGCUAAAAUCCUCCGUGUAGAAAUUAGGCUGCCGUUCAUGCUGUCCACAAAUGCAAUAACAACUGAAAUGAAGAUCUGAAAGGUUUAGUCUGUUCCACAUAAAACACUGAUGCUCUUCCAACAUCUAGAGUCUGCAAUAGCUCUUCUCCCUUGUUACCAUGAGUCUUUGGAAGGAAGGUCGGUACCAAAAUAGUCCAGCAUAUGCUGAAUAGAACCAAGACAGGGGAGACACCUUUCAGCCUUGACCAGACAGAAAACCUUUUCCACUUAGCGAGAUAUUUACAGUAAAUUCAGUGCUGAUGAGAAUGCUGGAUUGACAGUGCUGCACACCAAAGCCCUCUUUUUAUCCAUAGACCAGGUACAACACACUUCCUCACCAAUGUGCUUCAUGCAUGUCCUUCUGGGACCAUCUCUAUGGGAUUGAGUCAUUCAAUCCCUAGCCUUCCUGCUGAGAUGGCCAACAGAAGAACCAAAAGGAGGCUUAGAUGAGAUGUUUUUAUAUUACGGAUAGGAACUGUUAAUAAACAUAAUGAUUCUAAUGAUUCCGACAAUAGUCACAGUUAUUAAC